rnacentral:rRNA from 1 species
UACGAAGGGGGCUAGCGUUGCUCGGAAUCACUGGGCGUAAAGCGCACGUAGGCGGCUCUUUAAGUCAGGGGUGAAAUCCCAAGGCUCAACCUUGGAACUGCCCUUGAUACUGGGGAUCUCGAGUCCGGAAGAGGUUGGUGGAACUCCGAGUGUAGAGGUGAAAUUCGUAGAUAUUCGGAAGAACACCAGUGGCGAAGGCGGCUCACUGGACCGGUAUUGACGCUGAGGUGCAAAAGCGUGGGGAGCAAACAGG